GUUGUAUGGUUAAGUGACUAAGCGUACAUGGUGGAUGCCUUGGCAGUCAGAGGCGAUGAAGGACGUACUAACCUGCGAUAAGCUGUGAGAAGUCGGUAAGAGACGCUAUUACUCACAGAUUUCCGAAUGGGGAAACCCACUUAGCAUAAGCUAGGUAUCGUUGCAUGAAUACAUAGUGCAACGAGGCGAACCGGGAGAACUGAAACAUCUAAGUACCCCGAGGAAAAGAAAUCAACCGAGAUUCCCUCAGUAGCGGCGAGCGAACGGGGAUUAGCCCUUAAGUUUCUUGGAAGUUAGUGGAAUGGUCCUGGAAAGGCCAGCGAUACAGGGUGAUAGCCCCGUACAUGAAAACGACCUUGAAGUGAAAUCGAGUAGGGCGGGACACGUGACAUCCUGUCUGAAUAUGGGGGGACCAUCCUCCAAGGCUAAAUACUCCUGACUGACCGAUAGUGAACCAGUACCGUGAGGGAAAGGCGAAAAGAACCCCUGUGAGGGGAGUGAAAUAGAACCUGAAACCGUGUACGUACAAGCAGUGGGAGCCCUUCGGGGUGACUGCGUACCUUUUGUAUAAUGGGUCAGCGACUUACAUUUUGUAGCGAGGUUAACCGUAUAGGGGAGCCGUAGGGAAACCGAGUCUUAACUGGGCGUCUAGUUGCAAGGUGUAGACCCGAAACCGGGUGAUCUAGCCAUGGGCAGGUUGAAGGUUGAGUAACAUCAACUGGAGGACCGAACCCACUAACGUUGCAAAGUUAGGGGAUGACCUGUGGCUGGGGGUGAAAGGCCAAUCAAACUCGGAGAUAGCUGGUUCUCCCCGAAAGCUAUUUAGGUAGCGCCUCGGACGAAUACUACUGGGGGUAGAGCACUGUUUGGACUAGGGGGUCAUCCCGACUUACCAACUCCAUGCAAACUCCGAAUACCAGUAAGUACUAUCCGGGAGACACACGGCGGGUGCUAACGUCCGUCGUGAAGAGGGAAACAACCCAGACCGCCGGCUAAGGUCCCAAAGUUCUGGUUAAGUGGGAAACGAUGUGGGAAGGCUCAGACAGCUAGGAUGUUGGCUUAGAAGCAGCCAUCAUUUAAAGAAAGCGUAAUAGCUCACUAGUCGAGUCGGCCUGCGCGGAAGAUGUAACGGGGCUCAAACCAGGCACCGAAGCCGCGGAUUUGCACUUAGUGCAAGUGGUAGGGGAGCGUUCUGUAAGUCUGCGAAGGUGUAUCGAGAGGUAUGCUGGAGAUAUCAGAAGUGCGAAUGCUGACGUAAGUAACGAUAAAGGGGGUGAAAAGCCUCCUCGCCGGAAGACCAAGGGUUCCUGUCCAACGUUAAUCGGGGCAGGGUGAGUCGACCCCUAAGGUGAGGCCGAAAGGCGUAAUCGAUGGGAAGCAGGUUAAUAUUCCUGCACGACUUGUAAUUGCGAUGGGGGGACGGAGAAGGCUAGGUGGGCCAGGCGACGGUUGUCCUGGUGAAAGUGCGUAGGCGGUACCUUUAGGUAAAUCCGGAGGUGCAACGCUGAGACACGAGACGAAC
rnacentral:rRNA from 1 species